GCAGCAGCAGCGGCCCCCGGGCUCCGUGUCGGCGAGGGGCAGCAGCCCCAAGGCUCCUCCCGAGGAGCCUGAAGAUGAUGUUUGGCGCUACAACUCCUUCCAGUACUGGAGGUCUCCAUUGCCUGCUAUUGAUUUGUCUGAUAUUUUGGAUUUAGAAAAAGAUGAUGCAAUAGAUGGAAGACGGUCCAGCAGUGUUUGCCUCUCAGAAAUGGAAACCUGAAACCUGAUUAAUUCUCAAGUUACUUUGCCGAAGUUGGUUUCUUCUUUUGCUUGGAAAAGUAAGCAGAGACAAUAGCCUGUUGGAGAAAAAUAUGCUUUGAAGGAAGGAAAACGUCUCAAAAAGAAAGAACAGCAAAAGAACCAUCAGUGGACUGUCUAGAAAAUUGAUGGUAUAAAGAAUGAAGGGAGCAUGAAGCUUGGAGAACAAUUGGAACAUUUGAAAAUGAAUGUAUGCUGACAAAAAACCCAUAGUUGGUACUUACUUCAUUGAAAGAAAGUCAGAAGGGUGUGUCCUAAGUUGAACCUCGCCAAAUAACUCAGUUGAGAUCUGUACUGUCUUUGUUGCUAGACAAAAAAUAUUGUUGCUUAACC